GCUCUGGGCUAGCUCAGAUGGUGGAGCAUUUGAGACUCUUAAUCUCAGGGUUGUGGGUUCAAGACCCACUUUCCUGUUUUGCA